rnacentral:rRNA from 1 species
UACGGAGGGUGCAAGCGUUAUCCGGAAUCACUGGGUUUAAAGGGUGCGUAGGCGGCUAGAUAAGUCAGAGGUGAAAGUUUGUCGCUUAACGAUAGAACUGCCUUUGAUACUGUUAAGCUUGAAAGUAGGUGAGGUUGGCGGAAUGUGACAUGUAACGGUGAAAUGCAUAGAUAUGCCAUAGAACACCAAUUGCGAAGGCAGCUUGCUAGAUCUUGAUCGACGCUGUGGCACGAAAGCGUGGGGAGCGAACAGG